rnacentral:rRNA from 1 species
UACGGAGGGUGCGAGCGUUGUUCGGAAUCAUUGGGCGUAAAGCGCACGUAGGCGGCCUGUUAAGUCGGAUGUGAAAUCCCUCGGCUCAACCGAGGACGUGCAUUCGAAACUGGCAGGCUCGAGUAUGGAAGAGGGUCGCGGAAUUCCCGGUGUAGAGGUGAAAUUCGUAGAUAUCGGGAGGAACACCAGUGGCGAAGGCGGCGACCUGGGCCAAUACUGACGCUGAGGUGCGAAAGCGUGGGGAGCAAACAGG